rnacentral:rRNA from 1 species
UGGGGAAUUUUGGACAAUGGGGGAAACCCUGAUCCAGCCAUCCCGCGUGUGCGAUGAAGGCCUUCGGGUUGUAAAGCACUUUUGGCAGGAAAGAAACGUCAUGGGUUAAUACCCCGUGAAACUGACGGUACCUGCAGAAUAAGCACCGGCUAACUACGUGCCAGCAGCCGCGGUAAUACGUAGGGUGCAAGCGUUAAUCGGAAUUACUGGGCGUAAAGCGUGCGCAGGCGGUUCGGAAAGAAAGAUGUGAAAUCCCAGAGCUCAACUUUGGAACUGCAUUUUUAACUACCGGGUUAGAGUGUGUCAGAGGGAGGUGGAAUUCCGCGUGUAGCAGUGAAAUGCGUAGAUAUGCGGAGGAACACCGGUGGAGAAGGCAGCCUCCUGGGAUAACACUGACGCUCAUGCACGAAAGCGUGGGGAGCAAACGGG